CUACUCGUUGCUCAGGGAUCCCUCUAAUACAACAGUACCAUAGAUGUCCUCAUUUGGCAUUGAACCGUUCAGGUGCCACUGGCCAGGCUGGUCACAUGGAGUCCACCUACCCAGAAGGAUGACAGCAAUGUGUGAAUGUACUCACAACUGUCUGGGGUUUGCAGUUUUAACCCACAGAAACUGGCCAGGAAGACAGAAGAGCUGGACUACCUUCACCAGACAAAGCUUGGUAUGGCCUUUAAAUACAUGUGCCCAAAUUUGUUUGAAGAGCACUUCAUAGUCUAUUCAGGCUGUUGUAAAACAAACAAAACAAAACAAAAAACACCAUAAAGAGAGUUACUUAAAUUUCUCACAGUCCUAGAGGCUUGGAAGUUCUAGAUCAAGACAGUAGUGGGUGUGGGCUGUCUCUUGGUGCCUUAACCCUGCUCUCCUUCCCUGUACAGCCCUACUUCAGGCAGCCCUGUCCCUGGAGUGGUGCUAUUCCCGUGGACAGCUCUUGUUUUCAGCAAUAACAAGUCAUCAAGAUUGAGCUAUCAAAUCUCUGGGGAAGAGAGCCUAGCCGUAACCUCCAUCAUAACAUUUUUCUUUGGCGAUGAAGC
rnacentral:lncRNA from 1 species